UUUGUUAUCUUUUAAGUCAUACCUCCAUCUUCAAUUGGCAAUUCUAAAUUCUUAGGUAUAUAGUUAUGAUAAUUACUUGGUAUUUCUGGGAGUUGUGUACCCUCCUUGCUUGCAUUGCUAGCGUAUUUUGCAUAAUUAGACCCUAACACAUUUUACAGGGUUUAGUCAGACACUGGCUGGGAGUCCUGGGAAUGAGCAGAGAAAACAUCAGCAUAGAGCACUUGGACCUCCCUUGUACCUGUUCAGAGGAAGAAAAUCAACUAACUAUAUACCAACAACCUAAGUGAGGUCUUACAGCCUUGCUGCAGGGCUAGUUUCCUGCCUUUCUUUCUAUCAAUUUUCCAGUAUACUCAAGAAAAUCGGGAAAUUGUAAUGGGGCAGUUAUAUCUCCUGAGACUUUUUGCCUGUUGAAAUGUGCAGGACCCUUUUCCUGUGAUGAGAGAUAGCUGGUUACUUGAUCUAGGUUUAAAAGUUAUGUAAAAGAAAAAAAUUAUAAUAAAAGGGAUACUUUGCUUUU
rnacentral:lncRNA from 1 species